rnacentral:rRNA from 1 species
AUUGAACGCUGGCGGUAUGCUUAACACAUGCAAGUCGAACGGCAGCAGAGAGAAGCUUGCUUCUCUGCUGACGAGCGGCGGACGGGUGAGUAAUGCCUAGGAAUCUGCCUAGUAGUGGGGGAUAACUUGCCGAAAGGUAAGCUAAUACCGCAUACGUCCUAUGGGAGAAAGGAGGGGACCUUCGGGCCUUUCGCUAUUAGAUGAGCCUAGGUCGGAUUAGUUAGUUGGUGAGGUAAUGGCUCACCAAGACCGCGAUCCGUAACUGGUAUGAGGGGAUGAGCGGUCACACUGGAACUGAGACACGGUGCAGACGCCUACGGGAGGCAGAAGUGGGGAAUAUUGGACAAUGGGGGGAAGCCUGAGCCAGCCAUGCCGAGUGUGUGAAGAAGGUCUUAGGAUUGUAAAGCACUUUAAGUUGGGAGGAAGAGCAGUUAACUAAUAUUUGACUGUUUUGACGUUACCGACAGAAUAAGCACCGGCUAACUUCGUGCCAGCAGCCGCCGUAA